rnacentral:rRNA from 1 species
UAGGGAAUCUUCCACAAUGGACGCAAGUCUGAUGGAGCAACGCCGCGUGAGUGAAGAAGGGCUUCGGCUCGUAAAGCUCUGUUGUUAAAGAAGAACGUGGGUAAGAGUAACUGUUUACCCAGUGACGGUAUUUAACCAGAAAGCCACGGCUAACUACGUGUCAG